UGGGGAAUAUUGGACAAUGGGCGCAAGCCUGAUCCAGCGAUGCCGCGUGAGUGAUGAAGGCCGUAGGGUUGUAAAGCUCUUUCACCGGUGAAGAUAAUGACUGUAACCGGAGAAGAAGCCCCGGCUAACUUCGUGCCAGCAGCCGCGGUAAUACGAAGGGGGCUAGCGUUGUUUGGAUUUACUGGGCGUAAAGCGCACGUAGGCGGACUUUUAAGUCAGGGGUGAAAUCCCGGGGCUCAACCCCGGAACUGCCUUUGAUACUGGAAGUCUUGAGUAUGGUAGAGGUGAGUGGAAUUCCGAGUGUAGGGGUGAAAUUCGUAGAUAUUCGGAGGAACACCAGUGGCGAAGGCGGCUCACUGGACCAUUACUGACGCUGAGGUGCGAAAGCGUGGGGAGCAAACAGG
rnacentral:rRNA from 1 species